rnacentral:rRNA from 1 species
UACGGAGGAUGCAAGCGUUAUCCGGAAUGAUUGGGCGUAAAGCGUCCGCAGGUGGCGAUGUAAGUCUGCUGUUAAAGCGUCUAGCUCAACUAGAUACAAGCAGUGGAAACUACAUCGCUAGAGUGCGUUCGGGGCAGAGGGAAUUCCUGGUGUAGCGGUGAAAUGCGUAGAGAUCAGGAAGAACACCGGUGGCGAAGGCGCUCUGCUAGGCCGCAACUGACACUGAGGGACGAAAGCUAGGGGAGCGAAUGGG